rnacentral:rRNA from 1 species
UGGGGAAUAUUGGACAAUGGGCGAAAGCCUGAUCCAGCCAUGCCGCGUGUGUGAAGAAGGUCUUCGGAUUGUAAAGCACUUUAAGAUGGGAGGAAGGGCAGUAAGCGAAUACCUUGCUGUUUUGACGUUACCGACAGAAUAAGCACCGGCUAACUCUGUGCCAGCAGCCGCGGUAAUACAGAGGGUGCAAGCGUUAAUCGGAAUUACUGGGCGUAAAGCGCGCGUAGGUGGUUCGUUAAGUUGAAUGUGAAAGCCCCGGGCUCAACCUGGGAACUGCAUCCAGAACUGGCGAGCUAGAGUAGGGCAGAGGGUGGUGGAAUUUCCUGUGUAGCGGUGAAAUGCGUAGAUAUAGGAAGGAACACCAGUGGCGAAGGCGACCACCUGGGCUCAUACUGACACUGAGGUGCGAAAGCGUGGGGAGCAAACAGG